UACAGGGGGUGCAACCGUUGCUCGGAAUUAUUGGGCGUAAAGCGCACGUAGGCGGUUUGUUAUGUCGGAUGUGAAAGCCCUUGGCUUAACUGAGGAAGUGCAUCCGAAACUGGCAAGCUAGAGUACUAAAGAGGGUCGCGGAAUUCCCGGUGUAGAGGUGAAAUUCGUAGAUAUCGGGAGGAACACCGGUGGCGAAGGCGGCGACCUGGGUAGAUACUGACGCUGAGGUGCGAAAGCGUGGGGAGCAAACAGG
rnacentral:rRNA from 1 species